UACGGGGGAGCAAGCGUUGUUCGGAUUUACUGGGCGUAAAGGGCGCGUAGGCGGCGUGACAAGUCACUUGUGAAAUCUCCGGGCUUAACCCGGAGCGGCCAAGUGAUACUGUCGUGCUAGAGUGCGGAAGGGGCUACUGGAAUUCUGCGGUGUAGCGGUGAAAUGCGUAGAUAUCGAGAGGAACACCUGCGGCGAAGGCGGGUAGCUGGGCCGACACUGACGCUGAGGCGCGAAAGCCAGGG
rnacentral:rRNA from 1 species